UCGCUACUACCGAUUGAAUGGUUUAGUGAGGUCUCUGGAUUACUGAGUUGCAGCUGGCAACAGCAGUGACUUGGUGAGAAGUUGAUCAAACUUGAUCAUUUAGAGAUAGUAA
rnacentral:rRNA from 1 species